rnacentral:tRNA from 1 species
AACUAAGUUACCGAGCCCGUAAAGCUCUCGUCUAGCAUACAAGAGUCCUGGGUUCAAAUCCCAGCCGAGCUC